CUUAGGGAGGAGCUUGCGUCACAUUAGUUAGUUGGUGGGGUAAAGGCCUACCAAGACUAUGAUGUGUAGCCGGGCUGAGAGGUUGAACGGCCACAUUGGGACUGAGACACGGCCCAAACUCCUACGGGAGGCAGCAGUAGGGAAUUUUCGGCAAUGGAGGAAACUCUGACCGAGCAACGCCGCGUGAACGAUGAAGUAUUUCGGUACGUAAAGUUCUUUUAUUAGGGAAGAAUAAAUGAUGGAAAAAUCAUUCUGACGGUACCUAAUGAAUAAGCCCCGGCUAACUAUGUGCCAGCAGCCGCGGUAAUACAUAGGGGGCAAGCGUUAUCCGGAAUUAUUGGGCGUAAAGGGUGCGUAGGCGGUUAAAUAAGUUUAUGGUCUAAGUGCAAUGCUCAACAUUGUGAUGCUAUAAAAACUGUUUAGCUAGAGUAAGAUAGAGGCAAGUGGAAUUCCAUGUGUAGUGGUAAAAUGCGUAAAUAUAUGGAGGAACACCAGUAGCGAAGGCGGCUUGCUGGGUCUUUACUGACGCUGAGGCACGAAAGCGUGGGGAGCAAACAGGAUUAGAUACCCUGGUAGUCCACGCCGUAAACGAUGAGUACUAAACGUUGGGUAAAACCAGUGUUGAAGUUAACACAUUAAGUACUCCGCCUGAGUAGUACGUACGCAAGUAUGAAACUUAAAGGAAUUGACGGGACUCCGCACAAGCGGUGGAUCAUGUUGUUUAAUUCGAAGGUACCCGAAAAACCUCACCAGGUCUUGACAUGCUUCUGCAAAACUGUAGAAACACAGUGGAGGUUAUCAGUUGCACAGGUGGUGCAUGGUUGUCGUCAGCUCGUGUCGUGAGAUGUUGGGUUAAGUCCCGCAACGAGCGCAACCCUUAUUGUUAGUUACCAGCACGUAAUGGUGGGGGACUUUA
rnacentral:rRNA from 1 species